AGACUCAGACUGAACAUCCCUUCAAAUACAGAGGAUUGCCCUCCAGCAUAUGACCACCCAGUGGCAGGGGGAGGGAGACUGUGUGCUACCUAAGAUAAAUUAUUGCUGGUGUAUUCUACAGUCUCCUUGAAUGGCUUCUGUAAUAUUUAAAAACAGGCUUACGGGCAGUUUACCUACUUCAGGAAGGUGUGUUACUUGCAAACUUGUAUCACUUUCCUUAAACUGGUCUUGAAGUGCCCCCAUCUGGCAUGGAAAAAUAUUGCUGCUGCUUCUUAUGAUCUGUAACGAAGCCUGAAGGAAGGAAAAUUGGAAGGAAGUGAUAACAGAGGUAAAAUACUGCCAAGAACAGACUGAAAGAUCUCAUUUGUCUCUUUUAAUAGUUCCAGACCUAAUUAAGACCUUUAUAUUGCAAAUGUCCUGGAGGCUAUUUGUGCUAAAUAAAGCCUGGUACCCACAGAAACAGAAAAUGGGGCAGUAAAACUGUUUCUAGAUGGUGUGCUGUUCAAUAGUCUCUGUGAGAAAAAUAUGUCUAUGUGUCCUAAAUACAAUGAAAUGUAUUUUUAAUAUUAAACAGUUUUUCUCUUUAUUGUUGCCUA